rnacentral:misc_RNA from 1 species
UUUCCGUAGGUGAACCUGCGGAAGGAUCAUUACAAAUCUUUUGUGAGAACUGUGUGCUGCUUGCAGUGUGCAGUGACUUGCAACAUUAGCACAGGGUCGCAAGACUCUGAUGUUUACGCUUGUUUGUUUGACAGAGUUAGUAGGGAAUUAAAUAAAGACAACUUUUAACAAUGGAUCUCUUGGCUCUU